rnacentral:lncRNA from 1 species
AAGUGUUUGGUCUCUGCCCCAUUCAGUGGACUGUUGACUUCAGUCCCUGCAAGUGCUUUAGCCCGAGUGGGGUUUUCUCAGAGCACUGCCACAAGUUAAGUGUGUGUUUAGCCAAAUAAUUUCUCCAUAAGGGAAAAAUGCAGUCGCCCAAAUUUUACCAACAAUGACAGAGAUGAGAGUAGGAAAGAUUAGGCAACAUCUGAGUUUUAAUUGGAAAAGUGUCCAAGUCAUCAUGAAAGGCCGACUGGGAGCAAGUGAUUAUUAGAGAUUCUUUAGGAGACCUCAUCUGAAAAUGUUAAGACUGCCAGUGAGGAAAGGAAUUGUUAAAAUGCCAGCGGUUUUUUUUUUUUUUUCUCUUUUUUUUCUAUAAUUCUGUAAAAAUGCAGAGAAAGUUGAGUGGUACUUCAGAAUUGAGGGAGAGGGUUACCGCAGAGUAGAAAUAUAUUUCUAGAUUUCAGUUCCAAACCACAAAUCCACAACAAUGCCAUUUUUCAACUGUACAAAAAUCUGCUUAUGAACUUGACAUGAUCUUAAUUGGUAGUGUCAAAGGCCAAGUUUUUCACCUGUUAAUAUUUUUCCACAUUUGUCUUUGAAUCUGAAUAACUUUAUACAGUACUGUAAAUUUAACUUACAUCAAGUUUGAUGUCAAUUCUUAUGAAAAGAGCUUUCUGCAUGUAACACAUACGGUUAAAGAACACAGCAAAGAACAAAAUUUGCAGGAACAGUUUUGGAACCAACAGAAAAUGUCACCUUUUAUUUGCCAUCUUAUAUAUAUAUAUCAGUUUUACCAGCUACUUCUAAAUUUGUACAUUAUUUGUAAGGGAAAGAAGGAAAACCCUAAGACUUGUCUAACUUAGUGGAGAAUGUGUGUGUUGGGCUUAGGAUGGAUAGCUAAGUCUUACUGAGCUGUGUUACCUAACUUGUAUAUAAAAAUUGUAAUUAAAAGUUUGGGUUCACCUGUUUCUCACAGUCUAAAAUGAUGAGUAAUUGCAAAUUCUGGAAAUGUGACAGUAUAUGAUUUAAGGCUAUAGAAGCAAGGAAGCUCUUUCAAGUGCUAAAACUAAAGACUUCUAGUUUUUGGCUCAAAUUCAAUAAGUACUGUUUGUAUGCCAGGAUAUGUGAGAUGUAAAUGUAGUAGGUCACUUUUCACCCUUGUAGCUAUAAAAUAAAAAUUUUGUAGAACAGAAAUAGCUUGUACUACUGAAUUAACAAAAGUUAUACUAAAGUAUCAUGUUUUAAAAAUAUAUAUAUAUAUAUACAGAGUUAAGCUUGUUGCUGUUACCCUGUCUGGAUUUGAAAAGUGUGCUGAUUUAUAUAUAUAUAUUACACACACACACACACACACACACACACCCCUAAAAUGGCCUAAAGCAGACAUCCAUGUAAUUACAGUUGCAAAAUGAAAACAUUUUGGAAAGAACAUUGUAUCAUAGUUCAUUCAUUUGCAGUGGAUCUUUGUUCCUUUUUACUGUGGUAAUUUUAGAAAUGAGUGUCAAGUUUGAAAUUAGAUCUGCUAAGUUGGGGUUUUGCUGCUUGAACUCUGCACUGGGUCCUCAAAUAAACCGAUGUGAAUGUAGUUUUUUCCCCCUGUGUGAAGAAGCAGUUACACCCCAACAAUAGGAGGAAAAAUCUAGAACUAUUUCAAGUUUUAUCUUUUUGUAUAUGAAAAUAAAAUAAUAAUAAA